rnacentral:rRNA from 1 species
UACGUAGGUGGCAAGCGUUGUCCGGAAUUAUUGGGCGUAAAGCGCGCGCAGGUGGUUUCUUAAGUCUGAUGUGAAAGCCCACGGCUCAACCGUGGAGGGUCAUUGGAAACUGGGGAACUUGAGUGCAGGAGAGAAGAGUGGAAUUCCACGUGUAGCGGUGAAAUGCGUAGAGAUGUGGAGGAACACCAGUGGCGAAGGCGGCCAUCUGGGAGGGCACUGACGCUGAGACGCGAAAGCGUGGGGAGCAAACAGG